rnacentral:rRNA from 1 species
UACAGAGGUCUCAAGCGUUGUUCGGAUUCAUUGGGCGUAAAGGGCGCGUAGGCGGCGGGGUCAGUCGGGUGUGAAAUCUUGGGGCUUAACCCCGAAACGGCACUCGAAACUGCCCGGCUGGAGGGCCGGAGAGGAGAUCGGAAUUCACGGUGUAGCAGUGAAAUGCGUAGAGAUCGUGAGGAAGACCCGUGGCGAAGGCGGAUCUCUGGACGGCUAACUGACGCUGAGGCGCCGAAGGCCAGGGGAGCGAAACGGGG